UGUUGGGCCAAGUUCGCCCAAACGUAAGCAGCCAUAGGAGCUCGUUGAACGUAGUUUGCCGAAUGCCGUAGAUGGCAUUCCAACUGUUUUUUUUUUUUGUGUUUUUUUCUUUACAUAUAAAAAUUUGUAGAUGUGGUGCAAUGGCCAAUGAGAUAACUUUCCACCAAAGUUUAAAUGAAGGGGGUGUAUAAAGCAAUUAUUAUAUGAAUGGC
rnacentral:lncRNA from 1 species